GGUUAAGUUAGAAAGGGCGCACGGUGGAUGCCUUGACACUAGGAGUCGAUGAAGGACGGGACUAACGCCGAUAUGCUUCGGGGAGCUGUAAGUAAGCUUUGAUCCGAAGAUUUCCGAAUGGGGAAACCCACCAUACGUAAUGGUAUGGUAUCCUUAUCUGAAUACAUAGGGUAAGGAAGACAGACCCAGGGAACUGAAACAUCUAAGUACCUGGAGGAAGAGAAAGCAAAUGCGAUUUCCUGAGUAGCGGCGAGCGAAACGGAACAUAGCCCAAACCAAGAGGCUUGCCUCUUGGGGUUGUAGGACAUUCUAUACGGAGUUACAAAGGAACGAGGUAGACGAAGCGACCUGGAAAGGUCCGUCGUAGAGGGUAACAACCCCGUAGUCGAAACUUCGUUCUCUCUUGAAUGUAUCCUGAGUACGGCGGAACACGUGAAAUUCCGUCGGAAUCUGGGAGGACCAUCUCCCAAGGCUAAAUACUCCCUAGUGAUCGAUAGUGAACCAGUACCGUGAGGGAAAGGUGAAAAGCACCCCGGAAGGGGAGUGAAAGAGAUCCUGAAACCGUGUGCCUACAAAUAGUCAGAGCCCGUUAACGGGUGAUGGCGUGCCUUUUGUAGAAUGAACCGGCGAGUUACGAUCCCGUGCGAGGUUAAGCUGAAGAGGCGGAGCCGCAGCGAAAGCGAGUCUGAAUAGGGCGUUUAGUACGUGGUCGUAGACCCGAAACCAGGUGAUCUACCCAUGUCCAGGGUGAAGUUCAGGUAACACUGAAUGGAGGCCCGAACCCACGCACGUUGAAAAGUGCGGGGAUGAGGUGUGGGUAGCGGAGAAAUUCCAAUCGAACCUGGAGAUAGCUGGUUCUCCCCGAAAUAGCUUUAGGGCUAGCCUUAAGUGUAAGAGUCUUGGAGGUAGAGCACUGAUUGGACUAGGGGUCCUCAUCGGAUUACCGAAUUCAGUCAAACUCCGAAUGCCAAUGACUUAUCCUUAGGAGUCAGACUGCGAGUGAUAAGAUCCGUAGUCAAAAGGGAAACAGCCCAGACCGCCAGCUAAGGUCCCAAAGUGUGUAUUAAGUGGAAAAGGAUGUGGAGUUGCUUAGACAACUAGGAUGUUGGCUUAGAAGCAGCCACCAUUUAAAGAGUGCGUAAUAGCUCACUAGUCGAGUGACUCUGCGCCGAAAAUGUACCGGGGCUAAAUACACCACCGAAGCUGCGGAUUGAUACCAAUGGUAUCAGUGGUAGGGGAGCGUUCUAAGGACAGUGAAGUCAGACCGGAAGGACUGGUGGAGUGCUUAGAAGUGAGAAUGCCGGUAUGAGUAGCGAAAGACGGGUGAGAAUCCCGUCCACCGAAUGCCUAAGGUUUCCUGAGGAAGGCUCGUCCGCUCAGGGUUAGUCAGGACCUAAGCCGAGGCCGACAGGCGUAGGCGAUGGACAACAGGUUGAUAUUCCUGUACCACCUCUUUAUCGUUUGAGCAAUGGAGGGACGCAGAAGGAUAGAAGAAGCGUGCGAUUGGUUGUGCACGUCCAAGCAGUUAGGCUGAUAAGUAGGCAAAUCCGCUUAUCGUGAAGGCUGAGCUGUGAUGGGGAAGCUCCUUAUGGAGCGAAGUCUUUGAUUCCCCGCUGCCAAGAAAAGCUUCUAGCGAGAUAAAAGGUGCCUGUACCGCAAACCGACACAGGUAGGCGAGGAGAGAAUCCUAAGGUGUGCGAGAGAACUCUGGUUAAGGAACUCGGCAAAAUGACCCCGUAACUUCGGGAGAAGGGGUGCUUUCUUAACGGAAAGCCGCAGUGAAUAGGCCCAAGCGACUGUUUAGCAAAAACACAGCUCUCUGCGAAGCCGUAAGGCGAAGUAUAGGGGGUGACACCUGCCCGGUGCUGGAAGGUUAAGGAGAGGGGUUAGCGUAAGCGAAGCUCUGAACUGAAGCCCCAGUAAACGGCGGCCGUAACUAUAACGGUCCUAAGGUAGCGAAAUUCCUUGUCGGGUAAGUUCCGACCCGCACGAAAGGUGUAACGAUUUGGGCACUGUCUCAACCAGAGACUCGGUGAAAUUAUAGUACCUGUGAAGAUGCAGGUUACCCGCGACAGGACGGAAAGACCCCGUGGAGCUUUACUGUAGCCUGAUAUUGAAUUUUGGUACAGUUUGUACAGGAUAGGCGGGAGCCUUUGAAACCGGAGCGCUAGCUUCGGUGGAGGCGCUGGUGGGAUACCGCCCUGACUGUAUUGAAAUUCUAACCUACGGGUCUUAUCGACCCGGGAGACAGUGUCAGGUGGGCAGUUUGACUGGGGCGGUCGCCUCCUAAAGUGUAACGGAGGCGCCCAAAGGUUCCCUCAGAAUGGUUGGAAAUCAUUCGUAGAGUGCAAAGGCAUAAGGGAGCUUGACUGCGAGACCUACAAGUCGAGCAGGGACGAAAGUCGGGCUUAGUGAUCCGGUGGUUCCGCAUGGAAGGGCCAUCGCUCAACGGAUAAAAGCUACCCCGGGGAUAACAGGCUUAUCUCCCCCAAGAGUCCACAUCGACGGGGAGGUUUGGCACCUCGAUGUCGGCUCAUCGCAUCCUGGGCUGUAGUCGGUCCCAAGGGUUGGGCUGUUCGCCCAUUAAAGCGGUACGCGAGCUGGGUUCAGAACGUCGUGAGACAGUUCGGUCCCUAUCCGUCGUGGGCGUAGGAAAUUUGAGAGGAGCUGUCCUUAGUACGAGAGGACCGGGAUGGACGCACCGCUGGUGUACCAGUUGUUCUGCCAAGGGCAUAGCUGGGUAGCUAUGUGCGGAAGGGAUAAGUGCUGAAAGCAUCUAAGCAUGAAGCCCCCCUCAAGAUGAGAUUUCCCAUAGCGUAAGCUAGUAAGAUCCCUGAAAGAUGAUCAGGUUGAUAGGUUCGAGGUGGAAGCAUGGUGACAUGUGGAGCUGACGAAUACUAAUAGAUCGAGGACUUAACCAU
rnacentral:rRNA from 1 species